rfam:Gossypium hirsutum cultivar TM-1 chromosome 15, whole genome shotgun sequence
GCCGCUAUGGUGAAAUCAGUAAACACGCUGCUCUUAGGAAGUAAUGCUAGAGCAUCUCGGUUCGAGUCUGAGUGGCGGCA